UAUUGCAUGGCAUAGUGGUUUGAGUUUUGAACUAUAACUCUGGAGACCAGGGUUCGAUUCCCAGCUCAGCCA